rnacentral:tRNA from 1 species
GGUGUGUAACUCAGUGGUAGAACACUUGCCUAGCAUGCACAAGGCCCUGGGUUCCAUCCCCAGCACCA